GGCCUCGUAGUUCAGCUGGUAGAGCGUGUGCUAUAUAAAAGCAUAGGCGGCAUCCAUGCGUGGGUUCGAAUCCCAUCGAGGCUA
rnacentral:tRNA from 1 species